rnacentral:rRNA from 1 species
UACGGAGGAUGCAAGCGUUAUCCGGAUUUAUUGGGUUUAAAGGGUGCGUAGGCGGAUCUUUAAGUCAGUGGUGAAAGCCUGCAGCUUAACUGUAGAACAGCCAUUGAAACUGAAGAUCUUGAAUAUGGUUAAAGUAGGCGGAAUGUAUCAUGUAGCGGUGAAAUGCUUAGAGAUGAUACAGAAGACCGAUAGCGAAGGCAGCUUGCUGAACCAUUAGUGACGCUGAGGCACGAAAGCGUGGGGAGCGAACAGG